CGCACAUACACACAUCCCAGGCAGUCCCCCAAGCCCUGGCCCUCCAACUCCCACUUACCUGCAUCCAGGUGCGGGGACUACUUGCACCCUCUGCCAGGUGCACGCCAGCCACGUGCAUGUUCCCCUGCCUCCCACCCCCUCACCCCCAGCCCCAACCAGCUCCUUGCUAGGGCAAGCCAGGAAGUGCUGGGAAAAACUUUGAAGGUGAGCUGACCAAACUCCUGGACAUUUGAUCAUAUCUAAAAAAACAAACAAACCCGCCCAGACUGAGAUCAGAGGAUCCAAAAAGAGGACACGUCCAGGAAAACCCAGACAUACAGUAACCCUACCCUUGGGGUGCCCCUUUAAGGCUAUGUCGAUGCAAUCUGCUGCAGAUUUGAAUUGCACCAAAACCUCAGGAGAGCAGUAACGAGAUUAAAGCCGGCAACAUCUCCUGACCCCCGGGGCUGCUGUCAGAUCCAGUAACCCAGUGAGCGAUUUCAAGCAAACCCAAGUCCUCAGGAUCGCCUCUGACGGGCAUCUGGGUAGUACUGGCUGCGAGCGUUACUUCCAUCUCACUGAUUACUCAGGGUGGACGAAAGCCUGACUCACUGCGCGGAGGCGGGAGGGAGCGGAGAGGCAGAGACUUUCAUCUGUGGACAGAGAAGCAUGGUUUGUUUGCAGUGAUCUGAGUUUCAGGGCAUGAUUUCAGACAGAUACCCAAUCCCUUACCCCUGCGUGCGGGCACACGGAUGCACUGAGUCAACCACCAGCGCUUUUGUAGCCGCGUUGACCCGCUUGGAGCUGGAAGCUGCAAAAAAAAAAAAGAUCCCACCUCUGUAGUCAGGGCCCAGAUCUCCCACGUAGCUUGGCUGCUACUCAACAAAUGGCUGGCUUUUGAAAAUGGCCUGGCAUGUGGGUUGUGGAUCCCUCUAAAAGAAAGACCCUGCCAGGGUUAUGGGUGUUGAAGAAUUGGCAGCGUGGUCCUGCUCUGCUCUGGGGAGUCAGCCCCCUUUCCUUCUGCUGCCAAGGGGGCUGCGGCAUUGAGGAUCGGAGCCAAGUUUUCUCCACCGCUGCUUUUGCUAUUUGUGCCAUCCUCUUGCUGCCGUCGGAUGGAUCAAGAGAUUUUGAACCAUGGCUACAACCUGGAUACCUGGCACCCUCCUUGUACACAUGUGUGCCGUGGACCUUUCACAAGGAAACUCGGAGCUUUCCAUUUGGAGGGGAUCGCUGUUGAAAUCCAAGCUGGACCAGUGCAGCCAUACCUUGUGCCUUCAAAAAACCAUGCUUUGCCAAGCUGGAAGUGUUGCCCGUCCUCCUGAUCCUGGAUGUCCGUCCGUCCAUGCACUAAGGGUUAUUUUAGGAGAGGCGCUGAGAGCAAUCUGAGCUGUAAAAUCCGAGCCCCCCCAACCACACACACAACAUGUGCCUGAGCUUGGUUUUGCUUGCACCAGCAUAAAGUGAGAAUAACAUUUGUAAUGUCAGUGGAGUCGCACAGCUGCAAAAGCAGGGAAGUGAGUCGGGAUCAGGCCUCUGCUCCUAAGUGGGUUAUUAAUCACUUCUGCCCACUCUCACCUGCCAGGAAAAAGACUUCUGGUGUCACCGAAGGAGUCACGGGAGUCGAUACCUUCCACACACACAAAUCAGUUCACACUACUGACCUGCAAAAAUGCCAUUGUCUCCCCUGCCCGCGCCCCGUCUGCUUUCUCAACUUGAAACCAGGGGCUGCAUGAGCCAGCUUGGCUGGACUUGCUUCUAGCACUACGACGUCUUAGGGCAGGGGGGUUUCAACCUCUCUUCAUAUGAAGAUCCCUAAAAAAAAUAAAUGGAAGUGCAGAGCCCUUUGAAUGGUAAGU
rnacentral:lncRNA from 1 species